rnacentral:rRNA from 1 species
UACGUAGGGUCCGAGCGUUGUCCGGAAUUACUGGGCGUAAAGAGCUCGUAGGUGGUUUGUCGCGUUGUCCGUGAAAACUCACAGCUCAACUGUGGGCGUGCGGGCGAUACGGGCAGACUGGAGUACUGCAGGGGAGACUGGAAUUCCUGGUGUAGCGGUGGAAUGCGCAGAUAUCAGGAGGAACACCGGUGGCGAAGGCGGGUCUCUGGGCAGUAACUGACGUUGAGGGACGAAGGCUCGGGUCACGAACAGG